CCUACGGGAGGCAGCAGUGGGGAAUCUUAGACAAUGGGGGCAACCCUGAUCCAGCCAUGCCGCGUGAGUGAUGAAGGCCCUAGGGUUGUAAAGCUCUUUCACCGGUGAAGAUAAUGACGGUAACCGGAGAAGAAGCCCCGGCUAACUUCGUGCCAGCAGCCGCGGUAAU
rnacentral:rRNA from 1 species